AUUGAACGCUGGCGGCAGGCCUAACACAUGCAAGUCGAACGAGUGGCGGACGGGUGAGUAAUGUCUGGGAAACUGCCUGAUGGAGGGGGAUAACUACUGGAACCGGUAGCUAAUACCGCAUACCAUCGGAUGUGCCCUGAUGGGAUUAGCUAGUAGGUGGGGUAAAGGCUCACCUAGGCGACGAUCCCUAGCUGGUCUGAGAGGAUGACCGGCCACACUGGAACUGAGACACGGUCCAGACUCCUACGGGAGGCAGCAGUGGGGAAUAUUGGACAAUGGGCGAAAGCCUGAUGCAGCCAUGCCGCGUGUGUGAAGAAGGCCUUCGGGUUGUAAAGUACUUUCAGCAGGGAGGCGGUACCCGCAGAAGAAGCACCGGCUAACUCCGUGCCAGCAGCCGCGGUAAUUC
rnacentral:rRNA from 1 species